GAGGAAUAUUGGGCAAUGCCCGCAAGGGUGACCCAGCAACGCCGCGUGGAGGAUGAAUGUCGUAAGAUUGUAAACUCCUGUUAGAGGGGAAGAAUAGUACCGGUUGGACCGGUAUAUGACUGUACCCUCAGAGAAAGCCCCGGCUAACUACGUGCCAGCCGCCGCGGUAAUACGUAGGGGGCAAGCGUUGUCCGGAUUUACUGGGUGUAAAGGGUGCUCAGGCGGAUUGGUAAGUCAGAGGUGAAAUCUUACAGCUUAACUGUGAAACUGCCUUUGAGACUGCAAGCCUAGAGUAUGGAAGAGAGUGAUGGAAUAUCUGGUGUAGCAGUGAAAUGCGUAGAUAUCAGAUAGAACACCAAUGGCGAAGGCAGUCACUUGGUCCAUUACUGACGCUAAAGCACGAAAGCG
rnacentral:rRNA from 1 species